UUGGUCUGUAAAAAGACAAAAAAAAGUUUAAAAAACAACCCCACUAGAUUUAAAAAUAAACAAAACAAAAAAGCUUCUGCUUUACGAUAAAAGAUUCCAAUGUUUUCUUUUCAUUCCCAUCAAUCACAACCUGACCAUUUUUGCUGUCUGUGAUAACCAGAGAAAAGCACGUACAGUGCUGAUUCAGAGCCCGGGACAGGUGUGUUCUUGGAGCUGUUUUUCAAAGCAUGUUGGUGAGCUGAAGCCACAAACUACAACGUCCUGCACCUGCAGUAGGAUAGAAACCAAGGGCCCGCCUGCUUUCUCUGUGAGUUCCAGGUAAGCAGCACUUGAAACAGAACUGGGAAAGAGCAAAUACCAGGAUAAGAGCAAUUCAUCAGCGCUUGUCCAGAAUUUUCUUAGACUUUCAUCCCCAAAACAGCUGAAAUUAGGAUCUAUCUGGCAAAAAAAAAAAAAGGCACUAUCCCUUAGUUUGCCACAAGAUGUCACUGUGCUCUGUGGAGAUGGGAACACUGGGAUUCUACGCUUAUCUCUCAGCCCCUUCAAAAUACACCAUGCCCAAUGUUUUAAAAUACAUCUUAUGAAGCAUUACAAAUCAACACUAGGUCAAAUUCAGGGGUUUGAGUCGGUGCCAUCAUCGAAUGAGAUGACAAAGACUCCUGAUUUCAAGACUGUGUCAGUGAGAGCUGGAUUCCCCUUCAGGAUCCAGGACUGGAAAGGGACAGAUCCGGUUCUGUUGGUACAGACACACCCUGUGCACAGCAUCCUCCUGCAUAAAUUCUGAGCUCAGUGCGGUGCUCAAAGGCUCUCCCUUUGUGGGGAGAGGCCUUGAAUUAAAGCUCGUUUCCCAGGUUAAUUCAACAGGAAAUGGCAAAAAAAAGCAGCAAUGCAUCUUGUCCGAUCACAAACCACACCCAGGUACAGCUUCCUGCAAACAGUAACUCCAACUUUCUUUUGGCCUUCUACCUCCCGCUCCCUCAGAGGAAUCUGUAGCAAGUUGAAGCUGUUUGUAUUUUAUUAAGCCUUUGUCCGAACUGUCACAGUGACUCCUGAAACCACAAUGCCAAAAUGAGACAGUGUGCUACAACGAGAAGCUUCAGCUAUUAACUAUUCCAUUCGCAAAAGCUGUAUUUUCACUGCUGAUGAAAUCUGCACUUAACAAUUCUUAUUCUCAGUGUCAAUGACAGGAAGGUGCUCAGGAACUGCUUACAGCACAGAUCCCUGCAGGCCGGGCCGUAUGGAAGCAGAGGAAAAACAAAGAUUACGGCAAAUUAGCAGUUGUGAACCAUUGAUGCGUUAUAUGUGCCCAAGUCCAUAAUGCUUUAUGGCACGCCACGGAGAAGGGAAAAGGCUGCAGCCAUAAAAUACAGCUCCUCUCUGACUCUACCAAACCUGGGCAGCCACACUCAGCUCAUCUGUUUUUCAGCUACUUCCACAGAGAAAUGGGGACAGAGACACCUCAGAGCCAGCUGUAAUGUACAAGAAAUGGCUGCUGCUCUCCAAACUCUUCUGCCGUUUCCUCCUAAAAAUAAACCCCGUGCAAUCAAUCCCGAUUGUUUGACGGCGCAGACGAGGACGUCGAGAGCUGCAAUUAGCACAGUAAGUACAGCACAGAGCGCUCAUCAAUUAAUGGUGCCACAUUACUGCUUCAUAAUGAAAAUAAUUCAGGAAAUGUGGAAAGACAGAAAAUGACUCCAGGAAAUGUAGUUUAUACGCUCAUUAGAUAAUUAUUUAUAUUUCUAUUAGAUGUGGUUUCUCAGACGAAUGAUUUAGUGAAGUAUUUCUUAAAUACACGCUCAUUAAAGCUUUUCUUCUACCUGGGUCCCCCGGUUCAUUUCCAUCUGUUUUCAAUAGAUGGAAAAGUUUCAGAUUUAAGAGGAUUGAGCCUUUUGGAACGCAAUGAGAAAUGGAAUCACUUGCUGUGGGAAAAAAGGAAUUCCUGCUCUUGUUAAUGGCUCAGCCCUCAGCACCUUUCUGUGCAGAGUACUUCAUUUUCUUCUGGAUGCCUCAGUGCUCUUAAAGAGUCAUUACAUUUGAACAGGUCUUCCUGGAUCCUACCUAUCGUCCACCCCUCGCUUUAGUCCUGGCUUUAUUCUAACAGCUGCUCCGACAUGACUGCACGAAUAAGAAAAAACUUGGAGCAGAAACCUGUAAGAAAGUUAUGAUGGCCUGAUUUGAACAAAAGCACUUGUUUUAUUUGUUUGGGAUAGUUUAGAAUGAAGGGUCUGUGUUUUUUUUUCAGCGUCUCACGCAUACUGCCAUUGCCUUAACAUGUGUCUUAGUACCUCGAGGUUCACUGUUUCGUUAUUUCCUAAAUUCAAGUCGUUAGGAACUGUCUCCAGGUUAAAAAUAAAACAAAAAUAAUACAGAAACUACUUGGCAGCGACGCUUAGCUUCAGGAUUUCAACUUUUCAACAAGCGCAGGGUGGCUGUGGCAAUACAGAAUAACAGUAACGUUCCCGUGUUAGUUAGAAUUCUGAGCCGAAACGAGGGCCUUGCUUUGUGCUGUAAAUGUGCAGUUCCUGCGUGACUGAGCAAGCAGCUGGAGGAGCCGGGGUGCAGGGAAGGAGAUGGAAGCCGGCGGCUGAAGGAUGGGGGCAACGCAAGACACACAGUGGGUCUGCUGUGAUGCAGAGGCUGGGAGGAAGGCCGGCACUUUGGGGUAGAACAGUAACAUCCCUGUUCUCCUCAUAAAGCUGACUGCACGGAUCUGAAAAUUUAGAGAACAUCCGAAGGGCUUUCAUGUUAAACAGCUCUUAUUUGAAUUUUUACAAGAAGUGAAUUCAGGGUGGCAUUCUUAAAUGUUAUCAAUGUCACGUUUCAGUGCUCUUGAAUGUGUUCUGCAGUGAAGAGGUAUUCUGAAUGAAGCGACUACUCCAAAGCAGCCACGUGUAAUUAGCAAUUCUAUAUGACAUAUCUUCUGUUCUCUGGCACGUAGCUACCAUUCCCGGAGUGUACCUGGAGCACCGAGGGCAAUGCACCCUUACUGCAAAGCAGAUGAGAUUGAAGUAUCCGUCCCUGUGAACAGCAGCUGCUUCUGGAGCACUGCGGCGCUGUGGAGGGAGAGCUGUCUGGAAACAAGAAUUCACUGAAUCUUCGUAUGUCGAAGAAAUCGCCUUCUUCACUCCACCAAAAUAAGUCUUAUGGUGACGCUGGUGACUCCAUCCGCAGGGAUGGCAAGUGCUCGUUCUCUCUUGUGGUCUAACUGUGUAUCCAGGAUACCUGGCCUGGUUAUAAAGUGUCACACCAGCAAGAUGGUCCUUUGAACAUCGGCUGAGACAAACAGGUAAUUCAUGUUCUAGACAUGGCACAGGAAGAAAAUGCAAUUUCUGGUUCUCAUGCAGUUCCUUUCAUCCACACAGAUGAAACUCUCACCACAUUCUAAGGGCAGUCUAAUAUGGACUUGGCCUUUUACCCUUUCCUUGGAAGCAACUUGCACUCUCACCAGAGGAAAUAGGCCAUUCCAGUGCACAGGUCAUCACCCCUGCCACUCAGAAACAGCAGUUUUCAACAUUCCUAGAAAGCGUCUUUUGGGGAUUUUACAAUAACUUUACUAGCUGGAUUCCUUCAAGGUAGAUUUCUGGAGGUUCAAUAUAAUACAUCUGUAUUCAGGUGUAACUGAAUCAUCUUGAUAACUCGUGAACUGCCAUUAAAACAACUUCCAGGUAAUUAAUCUCCUACGGGCGACUCUACUUGUACUGAACAAGUUUCCAGGUUAGGAAGAAAGGAUGCAGUUGAGAUGAGUCAGUGGCUGCCCUGUCUGCUUACCAUCCUCAGGUAUGAAUUACAGUAUUAUGGUAUUUAAUGCACAGCUGAGAGUACAUCAGUUAAUACUGUUUAACUUUAGUAAUACAAUGUAUGCUCGUAAUUUUACUUGCUUAUUGUUUAUAGUCUCUGAUGGAAGAAAAGAAACAUCUACGGUUACACUUGAUUAUGAACUCAGCGUACCACCACACUUUAUGGAAGACAGACAAUGUACUUUUCCUAUCCCAGAAACAUUUUGCCCUUAAGACAAGCACAGAACAAUGGGGUAGGGACAGUAUACAAGGCUGCAAGAACUGCAGAAGCUGUAGCUCGAGGAAAGCAGAAAGAGAGUGUAUUUGACAAUGAGAAUAAUAAAAUAUUCCAGCUGGUAAAUAUUAAAACAUUCAGAUAUGAUGGUAAAAUUGCAAUGAAUUUAGAUGAUACACUGUAGUAGGAUUUAUAAAAGACAUCAUGACUUCUUUGUUGAAAAAGAAUCAGAUGGCACAACUGGAAAGACUGUCAGUACAAAAAGGAUCUUUUAUAGAGAAAAUGAUUUUAAGCACUCACAUGAAAGAUGGUUGCAUAAAAACAAGAUAUGAUUGCAUAGCUGGAAUAGAUCACAUACAAAGGAGUAGUCAGCUUGUAGUUUGGCAAGGAAAGAAAAGGUGUCAGGCAUGCAAAGUCAAAAUAGCUGUGCUGCCUCACAAUAACCUCGAUGCCAACAGCUACUGGGCUGCACCAGGAAAUGGAAGAAAUACAAACCCACAUAACUUCAAUACAUAAAGAAGACAGAAAGCAUAUAAGUAACUUUACACAUGCACGUUGUCGGUCCAAAUUCAAAUAGAAUUACUCAUGUGAAUAAAACCAGUGAUAGGCGUGAGCUUGCACAAUGUAGCCUAGAUACCAAAGCAAAAGAAAGACCAACUCUUUUGUUACAAAGCCUGGAAAAAUGUUUUGCAAGCUGUUUUCAUAUUCAGGCUCAGAAUGACAGGGUUCAUUUUUGCCUGGCUCCUGGCUUUCUGAGAAAUCCCCACUCCCAGCUACUGUAGUCCAGCAUUCAUCCCAGGCCAGACAUACUCUGGCUUGGGAUUUGGAUGGGUGCAUUUCUUUGUCUUUUGCUGGAUGGAAGGCAUUCUGUCACUUUACGCUCUUUGAGCAUGGAAAAGGGAAUGGGCAAAAUGAGGGAUGUACGGGGAAUGUCCCCGAGUGGAGCACAGCGCCGGCCCCACUGCUGGCCUCAUGUGCUGGAAUCCGCUUCCUUCCUCACACACUCAACCUUUCGUUUCAUACCUUCUGGGUGAUGGCUGUGUGCACUGAGGUGUCUGCUGAGCAUUGCUGCCCUUGCCGCCAGGCCUGUGCCUGCAGCCCCUCUGGGCACUGCCCCUCACCAUGUCGUCUGGAUUUGGGCACAAAACAAAAACAAAACCCCAGCAUAACCACCCUGCUUUGGCUCCAGAGCGAAUCUUGCCCGGCUGGCCCUGGGUCACCCGUCCCUCAGCCCCCCGGCCCAGCUGCCACACGUCGCCCCUGGCGCAGCAUCAGGAGGGGAGCGCUGGGUCGGGCCCGCCCGCAGCUGGAAGGGCUCCGCGCAGCCGCCCAGCCCCGUCCCACCCGGCCGCGAGCCCCCUGCCACCACCACCCCCUUCCUCACCCCACCUCCUUCUCACCUCCCGAACUGCGGCCCGGCCCGGCCCGAGCCUGCGUGGAUGCGGCCGGGGCGGUGCGGAGCGGAGCGGGUGGCUCGGCCCGACGGGCGCGGCCUGGUGGUGGCUCGGGGCGGGCGGUGAGGGGUUGUGGCCGGAGCGCAGCGGGGAGCUCAGUUCUUGGGUGGGAAGGGGGAAGAGUGGAGAGCGGCUGCUUUGUUCUGUUCUCAGCUCACUGCCCUUUAAGGCAGCGUUUAUCUCAGAGCCUCUGCACGAGCUUCAGACUGCAGUUCUGCUGCUCGCUUGGGCUCCCGCCCUUGGCUUUCUAUCUAUGUGCUGUAGCCUCUGUAGUAUCUUUUUUGUUCUCUCUCCACUUCUCCUUCACAGCUACACGAGGUUUCAUAACACCACCAGCAGUGAAACUCCCCACCCACACGGCUUCUCCUUGCCGUGUUGACGUGUUUUCCUGCCCUGGGGUGGAGGUCGCUGCUGCUUUGUUUGUAUGGUGCCUGGAAAGUAGAAGUGUAAUUGCUUUUUCGAGUUAUGGUAAGUGGACACCAAUAGGGACACCCAGCUCAGAGCGAUGCAAAGCGUACGGUCUGGACUGGGUGAAUAAUACAAGCAUCUUCAACUACAAUUUCAUAGAAUCAUAAAAGCGUUUGAAUUGGAAGGAACAUUUGAAGGGCAUCCAGUCCAGCUCCUCUGAACUGAACAGGAUACCUACAGCUGAGUCAGGGUGCUCAGAGCCCAUGUAUGGCAGUGUUGGAGUAUUAUGCUUCUCAGCUUUUCAUGCUAGAGGGCUGUAGGAGCUGUGGAGAGGCUGAUCCGGGGCUUCAGUACGUAACUUUCCCCGUAGCCUCUUAAUUGCCUCCUGCUAGGGACUAAGAACAAGAAAAAAAGAAAGAAAAAAACAAAAAAACCAACAAAAACAAACUCCAAAACAUACCCACACAUCUUUCAUAAAAAGAAGCCUGAGAUCAUUAGCUAACAUUUGGAAGUCCCUCAAAUUAACAUGCGUGAAGGACUGUGGCCAAACUCCCACUGGCUCUCAUAAAAGCAGCAAUCAGUCCUUCAAGCAAGAUUCUCUACAGAAUAACACCCAGAAGCCCCUGCAGAAGGGAUUUGCCAAUCUCACCAUCUGACUAGAUUAAAAACAGCAGUAACAAUGUGAUAAUUGACAGGAGAAACUUCCCUGACAAGGAAUGAAUCAGUGUUUAUUUUUAGCCCUUUCCCCCAAUGCUUUAUUUAAACUAAAGAUUAACUAAUUAUUUCCGUCAUUAUAGCGUCCUCACUAGCAACAGAAGGUGGCGGAUCCUUCUGUGUCUGCUGGUUUGCUGUAGUUCUGUUACUUCACAUGGGCUCAUCCCUUGAGGUCUGCACGAACCCGGAAUGAUGCUCUUGUGCCAGCAUUGAGUUUUCGCUCGGCUUUGCCCCUAGAUGUAGUGCCCCCACAGUCACCGGUUCUGUUUCCUAAACAGUAAGUUUCAAAAAGGGUGUCUGAAAAAGGAAGCUGAUCUUCCGUAUCUCCCACCUUUGCUCCUAAGCUUUUCAUGAAAAGCGAGUCAGUGCUAAUCCUGUCACCGCAUCUGCCCACUGCAGCCUUUUGCAACAGCAGAGCACUCCCAUCCCAAACAGAUGAAGUGCACAGGAGCCAGCUGUAAAACCUUAUCUAAGGGAGGGCAGCUCACCUGAGAAAAGAGCAGCAAGAGAUUUGUCAUAGGAUAAAUACAGGGAAGCUGGUCACGCUACCAGUGACACCGCCUUGUGCCUGGUUCUGCUCAGAGGCUUUUAGCUCCUGCUUUGUUUCAAAGCCGUGGGCUUGAUGUAUUUCUCUUAAAAGUUAAAUUGCCCAUAUUGGAUUCACUAUCAGAAAAUGAAUCGCGUUUUGAAUAUAGCUGAGGGUUAUCUCGCUUUUAUCUGUUGUGGAACAAAGAAAUGUAAGUGGCACUAUUUAGUUUUUCUGCAUAUCUGUAGUGUGAGGAUCACAUCAAAAACAUUUAUGUUUUACUGGUCUCUCUCAGUCCCAGAGCAAUUGCACUACACUAAAUUCUUAGAUAAACUUGGAUCAGUUUUAAACCUAAAGGAUGAAUAUGAUUGUCAGCAUUCAAGUGCUUGUUCUCCAGUGGGAACUGAUCACAGAUAUUAGUGCAAGAGAUGCUUCAGGAUGGAUCCAUACUCAGAAGUAAAAUAUCUUUCCUCUUAUUUUUGCAUCUCCUGAGAAGGCCGUUGUAGAAAUGGCUGCUUGUUGGGAUGAGCUCUCUGUCUUGCAGGUAUUACUUGCAAUGGUGACCACAGAUCCCCACAUAAUGUAAUUUCUGUUUAGAGGCAAGAUGAAUGCAGAAGACCAACAGGAACACACAAUGAUUUAAUCUGUGGGCCAUCAGGCCAAUCAAAUCUAUGAAUCAUUCACAAUCUUUCAUUUGCAUCUGCAUUGCAAGAAAUACAACUAACUAUACAGGGAAACAUUGCAGAUGGGGUUAGAUGAGAUGGGCAAUAAGGUAGGUCAGUAAAAUCUGCAUCAAAUGCAUGUUUGUUAAACCAGAAUUUAUUUUACUGGCUACAGGCCAAGCCCAUAAAGUAAGGGUUCAGGGCAGAACUUGAGCUCCUAAAUCUAAACCAGAGAUGGUGGAAAAACCCAGUGAGCUGAGCUUGACCUUGCACCAGGCCUCAAUUCCCAAGCCAGCUGACAUUUUUUUUUCAGGUAAACUAUUCAGCCAGAGGGAGCCUCUCUGCAAGUGCCCGGAUCUGCUCUGGUUCAGCAGGGCCAGGCAGCUUGGCACUGACGUGGAUCUCAAUUCAAUCAGGAACUAAAAGGAUGUGUCACUCCGCGCAGGUCCCCAGAGCAGCUCAGUUCAAGAAGAUUUCCCUUACCCGUGCUGAGUGUACUCAGAGGCGAAUAUGACAGGAUUCAGAACCCUAUGCCGAGGCAGCCGUUUUCCUGUCAGCUAUGACGAGGAGUGAAAUCAGUUCAACAGACAUUUCUGGGAAAGAAUGGCAACACUGACGUAUUCCUGACCCUGUGAAAUACCUGAUGCAAGUGGGAUCUACUACCGGAGUCAAGAAAAAGAAGUGGGCUGGCAUUUUAAUGAAUGUUUGUUGAAUGGGAAGGUAACAGCUUCUUAAAUCUCUACUUAUCUUUGCCACUGCAAGGUUGUGGUUACAAUCUUACCGCUUUGUAGAUUGAUAGGGCACUACAAAAGAAAUGAAUCUGAAGUUACAUCAGAUUCUGCCUGGGUAGAAGAGAUCUAGGAAAGUUUAACGAUCCUGUACUGGCCCAAGCAUGGGUGAAAAGAGAGUGUACUUUCAGGAAAGGUUGGAGUCCUUGCAUGGACUGUGAGUGAAAAUGGUAGAUGGGAGAGCUGAGAUCCAAGACCUGACGUCCCUCAGGCAUAAGGUCUCUUACUGUGCUGGAAAUCAGCCUGGAAUUCCUUUGCUUUUGCUUCUGCUUUUGUUAGAGUGCCAACAGCAAAAAAGCUGUGACUGCUAAACUCAGAAGACACACAGGAUUUCCCCUCCUGCUGCCCUACUGCUUUGACUUAGGCAGUGAUGGGUACAUAUUUCUAACUAGUGCAGACAGAUACAAAUUUCCUUUAACUAAUCUUCCUCUGGCAAGGUGAGUCAUCAUAUAGAAAAAGUUGUUUCUGCUUGUUCUGUGUUCAGAUCGUGGUCCAGUCCAAGCUCCAAAAAAGACCAAGCCAGUAGCAUUAACAACUCUGACCCUCGUAGUUCUUUCAUAGUACCUGAGGGAAAGCUGGAGAGAUGUCUGUAGCUGCAAGCUUUCUGCAGGGAAUGAUCUUCCUUGGAAAAUACUUUGAAAGAAGCUGGCAAGAAUCCUGCUCUGCAAAGCAAGAGGAGGAGUCCGGCCCUGGCCAGCGUUACCCUGCUCAGAACACUGGAUCUGCUCCUGCCAUCCCCUGCCUGCUGCUCCCUGGGGAACCACGGCUCUGGGACAGGCUCCUUUGGCACGUGUAAGUCCAGAUUUGAUGCUGAAGUCACUGGAAUGGAGUGUGAUCAUGGCUCUUCGUGCAAAGAAACAGCUAAAGCUGAAGGAGGUCAGUAAUGUUGCCUCUAACAGAUUAAUUCCUCUUAUCUUAGAACAAGCACAUCUUAGAAUAUGCUGAGGUUAAAUAACCCAGAUCUUGUAUUCAGGACAUGCUGUAAUAAUAUUAUUCAGAAAUACAGGUAUGCUCUUUAACAGCAUAUAAAGCAGUGAAAGCCAAAUCAGGCACUACUAUAACUAGUGAGGACAUGGCAAAUUCAAACAGGGUCCCAAGUCAAAUAGGAUCCAUUCUUACCAUGUAUUUAUGUCAGUAAUUGGGGUUGCAUUAAAUUCUUGCUUUACCAUCUCUGCAAUUUUCUGCUGUGAGAAAUUUGGGGAACUACUGUUCUGUCAAAGACUGGGUGGGUGGAGACUCUAUUUCCUCUGAGUCAUCAGAGGGAAAAGUCCAUUGCUGCAGGAGUGAAACUUGUGAACAUGACAGCUAGAACUGAAAAAGUCCUCACAACUCAGAACACAUUCAGUCUGUUGAUACAACCUAUUUCAAGUCCAAAGGUGUUAGCACCGCUGCCUUUCAAAUUCGUAAUUCAUCUAUAUUCCCAAAAUAUCAUGUUGCUGUAAUAAUUCUUAUAACAAAACUAUUUAUACAGUACUCCACUGUAAGUAGAAUACUCGCUGCUAGGUAACCUGGCAGUUAUUUAUGCAUGAUAUACAACAGAUUAGAAGAAAGGAAUAAGAUGAUUACCUCAAUCAGGAAUGACUGGACCAACUUUUAUUAUUAUUUUUAGCAGAGCAUGCAGGAAUCUGGCAAGGAAGCCCUGUCUGCACAGGCAGGGGAUGUUGCAGAGGCAGCAAGCUGGGAGCAGGGAAGGAAGGUAGUGCUUCCUGCUGCCUGUUAGCAAGCUUGGAGGAAGGAAAUCAUCCUGCCUCAUCAUGCUAAAUCAGCUAGAGAAUCCCUCAAACACAGUAAAUCCGUUGCUGUACCUUAUUUAGGCAGAUAGACGUUCAAGUCUGUCUAGGAAAGAGAAGCUAUGAUUUUGUAUGUAGGUGUGCAAAGCACUCCCUGAACUUCACUCCUCUGAGCUGCAAGUUGCUCAUCUGCUCAGGGAUGCUCUAAAAGUAAAAACCCAAGGAUUUACCUGUCUUUGUUUUGUUUCCCUUUAUCAAGCACUCUUUAUCUGUUUUCAUCUCUGUAUGCUACGUAAGUAUUUUUAUCACAUCCCAGUAAAAUCCCCCAGCCAAAAAUUAUUUUCUUUUCAGCUGAAUGACUGCUAUGUUCCACUUGUUAAUUGGUGAAAUUCAACUACAUCCUAGCAUAGUGAUCACCCUAUAUAGCAGAGUUUAAACAAUGGCCUGUCUUCUUACACAGAAUCACCAUAUCCCCUAAGCUAAAGCAAUUCACUGAGCUGGAUGGGAACGUCCCAGUUCAUUCAUUUGCAUCUUGUCCAGAAGCUGUCAGUUCCACAGACAGUUUUUCAAAUAUCAGUAUUUUCAAGAACCAACCACUUCUAACCAGAGUCUGUUGUUUUAACCGCUUAGUAGUAGAUUAUGUUGUCUUACAGCAUUUAGACAAAUUGACACAAAUGAUGGCUUAAACAGAUUUAAAGUUGUCAUCCCCAUGGGGCAGCUCUACGCACAAGUUAUUAGCAGCAAUCUUAAAUUACAAAAACACUUGUAAAAGUUUUGUUAAAUAAUAUUAUGUUGGAAUUUGCUGAAACCAAUGUAUGUAAUGAAGUCAUACAGACUAGAGUAAAUUAAAACAACAACAAAACAAAACUUUAGAAAGGAAAAACAUACAAAAAAGAUUGCUGAUGUUAGGCUGAACUCUCAGCCUGUUUCAGUACUAAUAUUGUUACCAUUCAUCGAGGACUUUCCAGACAGCUUUCUCUCUCUUUUGUGUUUAUAACUCCAACCAUUACGUUCUUAAUUCUCAUAUUCUUUGCUAAAAUUUUCCCUCUUAAAACUUUCUUAGGCCAUGCUAUUUCUGCUCAGAUUUGAGUCAGCAAAGCAGAACAUUUCCUGUCCUUGGAGGGAUGAAUCUAUACUGGAUAUUAGGAGCCUGUCAACACUAACAGGAUGCAGACCAGGAAGCUAUGGACAGCUAGAACAAGAGUGGUGAUGUUUUGGCAGAAUUGAAAUGAGAUGUUUGUACAUGGGACAGAAUAAAUACUGGAACUAAAAUAUUCUCCACAUAGCUAAAAUAAGGCUGCCAGCAAACUAGUUUGGUAGAUUUGGAAAUAAUCAGAAGCUUAGGAGAUUAAGAACUGAGAAUACAAAGAGUUACAUCCCGCAGUAGCACACCAUUGGCACUCUACAGGUAAAUCAAUGGUAAAAAGUCUGGAAUCUAGCAAAAAUGGAGCUAGAAUUAAUAUCGGUCAAUUAGAAUACAAAUGGACUUGAACUCCUACUGGAAUGCAAAGCAUUAUUCUCAGGGAGCUAACAGUGCAUAAUGACCAAAAUACAAGUAGGAACUCCCUGUAGUGUGGAUCUAAAUAUGACCAAAAGUAGUCACAAACGUGGUGUCAUCUAAUGUAUGGUGGCUCUGAAAGAUGUUCACCAUAAUAUUCACUAAACCAGAGAGGGUAUAAGCAAGAAUGAUUUAAUCUUAUCUAAUGAUUAGAGCACACACUGAAUAGUUCCUGCUCUCAUAAAAAUGUUGCUAUUUAUACUGACUGCACUGCUGGCAUCUGCACCUGCACAGUUCUAGUUCAAAUGGGCAGGUUGCUGUUGCAUUGCUCAUCUUCAGUUAACUUACAGUGACCCAUAUAAGAUUCUAAGCUCAAAACUUGUAGACUUAAACCUUCUAUUGAUCUGUAGAAAGGAAAAGACAUUAUUUUCCCCCCUAUGCAUAUGUAUACACAAUGCAUACAUAAUUACCAUUGGUUACCUGCAGAAACCAGUUCUCAAAGGGAGCUUACUUCAUUUUUUUUUUUGUUGUUUUUCAAAUCAGUGACAAUGAUCACAAUGAUUCAAUAUGAAAUUGAUUUUUAUACUGGAGAAACUGUCCUGAGACCAACAAUCUGACCAUUUCCAUAGCAGUUUAUAUCUGAAUCAAGUACCAUUUGGCAUUUCUCAGGUGUUUUCACAGAAAUGAAUUGCUAUGGAUGAAAAAAAAAGUAUUGGGAAAAGCAGGCUUUGUAUGUUUUAUGACCUGGCUAUAAUUCCAUUUCAAAUAUUAGAGACCAUUGCAUAGAAAGAGGAAAUCCUUAUAAAGGAACAAGGGUUAUAAGGGGAAUAAAUGUAGUGAUGUGAGUUUGAUCAAAUCAUUUUCUUUUGCUGAGAGUCUAAUUGGGUGAAAAAAUGAAACUAAAGGUCUACUGUUGCCCUUCAAGAAAUUCAUCUUGAGGUUGAAAUUCAUGCCUGAAUGCAGAGAAGCAAUUUUGAAAAGUCAGAUGUUUGAUUUAUUGUUCUGUGAAAGGUUGCGUAAAGCUUUUUGCUGAAGAUAUCAAAGUUAUACCGAAGCGUUCUGUAUGAUUAAGGGCAAUCAUGAUUCUCAAAGCCUCUUAGAAGAUGUAGAUGCUGUUUGGGCUUGUUCCUUAUUUACUGUAAAUUUCAUUUUUUUUUUCAGUCUGAGUAGACGGAACUUCUUAAAAGAAUUUGUUCAAGAUUUGCAUUACAGAUUCACACAGUCUGUACAGCUGUAGCACUGAUGCAGAUUUGCAGUAUAUGAUAUACGUGGAUUGCGCUGUCAUCUAUGAUAAUGUCAAAUCAAGCAAACAAGAUUUGAGAAUGCCAAAAUACAACACUGUUCAAUAAACUGUAACUGAUAAAAAAAAAGAAAAAACAGCCAAAAAGAGCCACUCGUUCACCAUUCUGCUCUAGGGCAGAAAGCUUGUAACACAGCUUGUAAAGUCUUAAAACAGCCCUGUGAUGUGAAAAAAAACACACAACAACAACAAGAGAACAACAAAAAAACAAGUUUGAGCAAAUGUUCGCUGCUUUACAGCAGUAAAUAUCAGAUGAAUGAAGGAUUCCAGUCAUUUAUUUCAAGACUAGGUUAUGCAGAAGGGUGGGUGGAUUUGCUUGUGAAUUCAUGAUGCAGUUCUCUGUGCUGUAAAUCACUGCAGCUCCAAUGACAUUUGGGAAAAGCAGGAUUUCUGGCCACAAACGUGACUUUAGAUGUGUGAUCACAGUGGCUUCAACUUUUAAAAUUAUAUAUAUAUUUCUACCCAAAAGUUCUUUGCCCCUUAUAUUGUGCCCUUCCUUGCUCAUGUUAUCUACAGCAUCAGAUGUUUUACAUCAGAACUUCCAGGCUCUUGCUAAUUAUUUCAGUUUCCGAUUUAAUGUGAUGCUUUUGUUUUAUUUUCAUGGCUUUCCAGAGAUAAAUCAAAAUGCAAUCACAAACCCUGGGGACUGAAGAAAUGCUUGGGCUGUGGGCUUACAGUGCCUAAUGUAGUCCCAUGUUUAUACACUGGCCAAGGAGCAUUUCUAUGGCAGACUCAGGGCCCCAAAAACCACUACAGCUACUCCCAAGUUUUUUCAAAAGAUUAUGAGGCUUAACACAAAUGGCAACAGAAGAAGACAUCAAUAAUGUAUUACUUGCAAUAUAUUCAUUUUUGAUUCACAAUGUACAUAUCAAUUAGAUAGAAGUCUGUAUAUCAAUUGAACCAUGAAUUAGUUGAACAGUAAAUUGUUACUACCGACUUAAUUAGCUUUCGGCAAAUAGUCUUUUCUUAAAAAGUUAGUAUCUGAUUCCUUUCACAGAUCCUAAAUAUGCAGCAAUGUUGACUGAAAAGAUAAAAGACAAUACAGAAGCCAGAAGGUUAUCUAGAUGAGAUACGGGGUGUGCUUAUUUAGAAAUUACUUUCCUUAAUCUUCUAAUGUAAAGCACACAGUACUCUGAUCAAAAAUUAGAUGGGAGAGGAAAAAAGGAGAGGCUGUUUGUAGACUGUAUUAGAUUAUAAGCCACAAGGAAUUUAUCUUUCCUAGAAGAGAGGAAUGCGGUGUAAAAUAAUACACAAACAUUCAGCUUAACAGUGAGAACUCUAUUCGCUGUAGCAGUAUUAUCGCAUUACUGUGUUAUGUUCUUAGCAAGCCAUACAAUUGAGAACCAAGUAAUGAACAGCAAUACGAUACUUACACUAUCACAUUUGUAAGACACAAAAAUGUCCUCAGAAUCUCUGUGGACUGAACGAAUUCAUGCAGGUUUCAACCACUGCAUCUGCUUUUUGGAGACUUUUACCUCUGGAUAUAAAUACAAAAGCUAAUGAGCAAUGCAAGGUUAUAAUGUGUAUUUUUAUGAAUAAAGACUGUAGUAGAUUUGAAGGCAAAAUCUGUAGCCAUUUAUUCCACCAUCAAAACUAUUUCAUACAGUACUUGGAUUUCCUAAAGAGAUUUCCCAUUCAAGUUCCCAUUCAGACCUUCUUUAACUUGACAAAGCUAUGCUGUAGGUGUGAGAAAGUUGGUCACACUUGGUUAAUUCCAUAAAGGAUAGCACUGAUGCAUGGAUAAAAUGCCAUGAUAACAAUAACUAUAUUAAAAAUUCAGGUCUCAUACAUUGCAAGUGGUUUGGGAAACAAAAAUUCUAGUGUCACUUCAGUGGAAAGGUGGCACUGAGACUCCUGAGUACUUACAAGUAAACACAGAAAGGAGAAGGCUGCAUUAGUAAGAACAAAGAUAGUAGAUUAAUUAUUAAAGGCCUUUAUUGCAUAAAAACAAGUUUUAAUUCACAGAAGAACAUUUUAACCUCAUUCCAAGUCUGGUAAAUCAAAUUAGAGGCUGCAGAUGGAAGCAAGUACUUAAGAAAAAAACCCAACCUUUUUCAUUGACAGUGUUUUCUGAAGUAUUGAUCCCACCCUGGCAAAAUGUUGGUUGCUACCAAAGCCAGUAAUUUGCAUUAUUCAUUUGAUAUAUUUGUCAAUAAUUUGAUGUGGAAAAUUUGAUUAAAGAAGAAGUGACAAGACAUCUGUUAACUUGAUUUUCUUUUUCAUGAAUGCUGAAAUCACCCUCCAAAAGCAGUUACUCAAUUAGGUAGCAGUGCUAAACUCAGCAAAAUUCUCAGUGUUAGUUGCCUUAUUAUACUGGCCAGCCUUGCUUUCUUCCAGAAUAAUUCCAGUUUUUACACAGUUGGCUUUAGCAUGAUCAUCACAUCCAACUUUAUCAGUAAAACACUAAAGUAUGUGUUCUAUCCCACGCAGAACUGGUGAAGCCUUAGUUAAUGCAUCUGCUUCAGCAGUGCACUCAAGGAAAUGUGGGCUAGCUGGAGAGAGGCCAAAGAAGGAGAGUGCCUGGCAAUUAGGAAACAUUGGAAACAUACAGGGAAUGACUGAAAAAAUAGGUGUUAUUUUGCAGGAAAAAAAAAAAAAAAAGAAUUUGAGGAGUGAAAAAAUAAUGAUUUUUCUUGCAAGAGGAAAAGAAAAAUCUGUCCAGUAUGCAAUUAAUUAACAGGCUUUAACAGUAAUGAGUGACAUUCAGAGUAAUUUAAGGUAAAUAUUGUUAAAAUGUUUCUUCUAAUAAAGCAAUCCAAUAUUCAAAAGAAUACUGCAGUAUACUACAAUACUUGAAUCUUUAAUACAUUAAACAAAUAUGAGCCCAAAAUGAUAUAUAUGCAUAGCUGAUCUUGCCUUGGGCCAUGGAGAAGGAGUACCUGAGCUCCUAUGACUCUCUCCUUUUCUCUUUCUUUGAGGUUAUCAAUAUUUACAAUAAAGUUUGUUCCUUCUAUAAAGGCUCCAAAGUCAGGCCCUAAAUCUGUCACGCUGAUGAUAAUCACGAUGAUAGAAACAUAACACCUGUAAUGCUGGAAUGUGAAAUUCCUUACCU